CGUUGUCUACAAAUCAACCGGAGACGACGGUAGCAAUUCUCGGCGAGACACCGAGAUCGAACAAAGGGCCUCGUUGCGGCGGCUACUGUUGCUUGCGUUUAGAAUAGACACUACACGACUAAACUAGGUAACUUAGGGAGCUUUGAGAUUGGUGCACCGGGUGACGUGGCACGAUCUGGGAAGGGGCAUCAGAUGGUAGGAAGUGAGGCCCGGUCCUGUAGAAUUUUUAUCCCUGCCCUAGGCCCAUCAAUCCAUCGAUCGAACCAAAAGCUAGCUCUGUCCCCGUUUCCAAUCUUGCACGCCAUCGCCGCCUGGAACAUAUCCUCACCUUGACGAUCACGAGAUAGCUUGAACUCCAGCUCUUUCCAAGGCCACAGGGUCCCAACCCUUUCAAAUCAGUGCCAAGCGCUUCAUUGAUCAUCUUGAAAUUAAGAAUCAUGAGGUCACCAUACUGAGUUGUUGAUGCACACCUGCUUCCAUGCCACCAAACAGUUGCCGCCCUUUGUAUCCUUUGAUUCAAGCCAAGAGAAUGAUCUUCAGAUUUUGUUGAUGCACCUUAACACCCAUAGUGGUAAAUUGGGUGAGAGCAUGUGCUACAUGGCGACUGCUGAUAUAACAGACUUCGCCAAAAUUAAACGUUGGCCAAAGGGGGAAUGAUCCCUCCCUUGACUAUACGUUGUUAGGUAGGAUGAGACUCUCCCCGCGGAUGGACGCUAGGAUGAUAACCCGAAACUUCGCCAAAAUUGACUGAUCACUCUGAGUUAGCAGCCAAGUUUUCCAUGUGGCCAAUCUUCUGGCAAUUUUAUCAAUUAACCCUUGAACUUGAAGCUCUGGUUUAGUCAGGGGGGUGCGUGACAGCGGCAGGCCCAAACAAGAACAAGGGAAUAUACGGCGAUAGCAGCAGACCCAAAUCAAUUUCGCCAUAAGAAAUGGGGGCAAUAGAGCAUUUGUUGAAAUUGCACACCUGACCAAACAAAUCUAAUAAAGCCUUUGCCGCUUAGAGGUGAUCUUGUAGCUGGCACUGAAGCUUAGGGGUGAUCAUCUUCUCUUGCCAUUUUCGGUUACAGCACUACUUGCGAGAGAAUCAAUGCAUAUCGUAGUAGGGUGCUACGUUGGAGGUAUUUGAACAAAUGCAUCUGACAGUUUACGUACCGAGGUUAGGACUUCUUGCACCAUUAGUGUAAUUCUGGGGAGGUGAAAUUGGGUGAGCGAGAUAGUGGUUUACUAUCCUAGCAACAUGGUCAGUCAGAUGAGCUGCAAGAGUUUCUUUUUUGUUACAUUCACACGUAACAUGAUUACAAGCUGGGGUAGGUGAGUGGAUUAUUUUUUGUAGUAUAUUUGUAGAGUACAUCUUUCUUACUUGAUAUUGACCGACAGGUUGCUGCCAAGGCUAUCUAGAAUUCUAGAUGUGGACAUGCUAAAAGGAUUGAACUAUUAACCUUGGGCUGCACCUAAGUUACAGUCCUGAAGGUUGAAGCUCUUUGAAUUAAUUGUCAAACAUGUUAACCUUGGGUGGCACCUAAGUUACAGGUAGAUACUUUUUUCUACCUUUCCUCUGAGGCAAACUUGGUGAAGUAGACAUCGCUGGAAAAAUAAUAACCAUGUGUUCCUUCUGUUUAACCAUAUGGUCUAGUACUCUAGUCUGAAGCUCAAGCUCUUUGAAUUAAUUGUCAAACAUGUUAUUUUUCACAUGCGUUCAGUUUUCUUUGUUUUGUACUAUUGUGCAGCUCUGGUAUCUUAAACUGGAAGCAACUCUGUUUGAUCUCUUGGAAAGUUUUAGUGUAACUUACAGAUGGUCCUUUCAGCUUAUGCCGUUUCUUAUGUUUUGGAAAGCAUUGUAAAAAGACAGCAAAGUUUCAGUUGUCCACGGUCAAGCAAUCUACUGGUCAACCUGUGUGUUCUAAUGCAGUUCAAUGUAAUACAUGUUGCAAGACUGGAUAUCAAUAGCCAUGACCUUUCAAAGUGGCCAGCUUUAGACUAUAGGUGAGAUAAACCAUGAUCUUUCAAAGUGGGCAGCUUUAGACUGGAGGUGAGAUAACCAUGAUCUUUCAAAGUGGUGGAAAAUAACAAGCGCUACUGCCUGAAAUUAUAGACCGAAGUGGGCUUACUCCCUAGUUCAUACGAAAACUCUGAUCUUGUUGGAGCAGCGUUGAAUCAACUAUUUCUCUUGAACAUCAUUUUUUAGGUAAAUAUGUUUAUUGGUUUAUUCAGUUCCAUGUUUUUACAGUUUAUACACUUUUAAUUGAAA